rnacentral:lncRNA from 1 species
CAGGGUUGGUGAUUUAAAGUAGCAGAGAUAGUCAGUUGGCGCAAUGCUUUUGUCUUUGCAGCAUGAAAGAAUAUAGCACAGAUGGUUUACAAGAAAAGUUUUCUGACCAAAGUUGAGGAGAUAUGGCAAUCCGAUUUUAAAUGUCAAAGUAUGUUCCAAAGAAGCGUUGAGGCCUUUGCAGAGGAUGAUGGAGGCCAUUUGAGAGUAGAAUCAGACAGGAGAUAGGAGCACUCAAGGUAAGCUUUACCUCAUCAUUUCAUAAAUGGGGGUGAGAAUCAAUAUGAAGCAAAGAAGAUGGUUCAUAGUCACAAGAAUGGGAAAAUGCUAGAAACUAUGAAUUCACAUGGAGUCAGUUAUCAUAGCAAAUAAAACACAAGGUGGAGUGAAUCAAAGAAAACAUCAAUGGUGUACAAAAAGGUAACCACAGGAUGGGAAAACAUAUUUGCAAAUAUGGAUUUGACAACAGGUUACUAACCAGAAUAUAUAAAGAACACCUACAUCUCAAC